rnacentral:rRNA from 1 species
GCCUGCAGCCAUACCACCAUGGGGGCUGAUCAUGCCAGAUUUCACAAACUAAGCAGGGUCAGGGUGGGUCACUACAUGAACAGGAGACCUCCAAGAAAAACGUAGGUGCUCCAGACA